rnacentral:rRNA from 1 species
GUUAUAUGGUCAAGCGAAUAAGCGCACACGGUGGAUGCCUUGGCGGUCAGAGGCGAUGAAGGACGUGGCAGCCUGCGAAAAGUAUCGGGGAGCUGGCAACAAGCUUUGAUCCGGUAAUGUCCGAAUGGGGAAACCCACCCGCUUGCGGGUAUCCUGCAGUGAAUACAUAGCUGCUGGAAGCGAACCUGGUGAACUGAAAUAUCUAAGUAACCAGAGGAAAAGAAAUCAACCGAGAUUC